CCCCCCCCCCACCCCCCUUCACGAUUUAGGAUUUGAAGCUUUUCGUUUUGUUAUUUUUGUUUGUUUUUGCUUUUCAAGAAUUUUCAGACAAUAAUUGUAAAGUCAGCUUCACCUUGCCUCUCCCUUUUUGAAAAUAAUGCUACAUACCCGACGAUUAAAUUUAUAUCAUCAUAUGCCAUUAUGGUUUCAUGGUGCUUUUGUUCCCAGGGGUCUAUUAAUUUUUUUAAAUUUUUUUUUUUACAGAUUACUCAUGAAAGUUUUGGUAUUAAUUGUAUCAUUACUUGGACAGAUUAGGCACUAAAUAGACCUACUGGAUAUAGGUCUUGUCUAUAGUCCUUCUCUCCCCCCCUCCCCCCUUCCCAUCCCUUCAAUUUAACGAAAUGAAUAUAUUCUAAAGUGUUCUUAGUAGAAUUGGAUAAACUAUAAGCUUUGUUAAUUACUGUAUAGGGGGAAAUUAAAUCACGGUGAAAAUUUUUCGCUAUACUCGUGGUCUAAACAAAUCCGUGAAUUUAAGAAACUGUGAAUAUUUUUGUUUUUUUUUAUUCUUUGAUACACAAUGUGUUUUAAAAACGGGGAGGGGGCUUAUAGUGAUUCGAAUUUGCGAAUUUAUGAAUCCGCAAAUGUGUUUAAAAUGAAGAAAAAAACGCGAAAAUUACAACCCGUGAAAUUAUUCCCCUAUACAGUAUAAGAGAUAUGAUACAACCCAUAAUAAAGAUUUUGAUCCCAUAAGCUUUACAAUAUCCUAUUUGUUACCACUAUUUUAUCUGAAUCUUAGGACCCCAUCGGUAAGCACGCCCCUUACUUCCAGUUUAAGGGCAGUAACUGCAAAAAUGAAGUCCAUUGUGUACAAUACUUCAUUAUCAUUUAAUGUUCUUCACAUUCUUUUGACCCAGGGAUGACUGUGAUAUUUUCCUACAAUUUACAGUGGAUCAAAGAAAAUUGUUUUAUAGUAUUUUUUCUUCUUUAUGCAUAUGACCCAGUAUGUCUCUGCAGAGCACAGAUCUACAUCUGGCAUUUUCUAAUGACUUUAUGUUAAAUUUUUUUAGUGAUCAAUCAACUUUUUUAAGAUUAGUUUUUCAAUCAAAAAUAGCGUAAAUAUAAGUCUAUAGCUAACCAGGGGUAUGAUGCAUGUGACCCAAAUUUGUCAUUAUGCAGGGACCUAUAUCUAUUCUACGAAGUAUAUUUGAUGCGCAUUAAAGUUUGAAAAUUUUAAUUCAAAAUAUGCAUUAAAACCGCUGUUUGAACAGGGCAUAAGUAUUAUUUUAAGGUUACAUAUAUACGUAAGUAUCUUUGCUAGAUAUGAUGUUCAAGAAGAUUAAUCAGUUUUUUAAUUACUGAUUAGAUCACCUGAGUGGGUAUAGGGAUUGAUAAACUAAGAUUCUGAAUUUUUUAAAAAGCAAACAGACAGAUGAAAGAGCUUGUUAAAUAUCAUAAUACAGUCCAUCAUAUAACAAGGGUGCAUGAAAAUCAGGUUCUAGAGCAGAUAUUAAUAGGUAGAAUAUUGAUGAUACGUCUUAUCUGGUACAUGUAAGUUGUAAUGUUCACCCUCUUCAUUAAUACUGUGCAUUUUGACAAAAUGGUACAUGAAGUGCAGUGGUACAUGGUUCCAUUGAAUUUGAACAUAUGUUGAAUAAAUAUAUAGUUAGUAGUGGUAGGGAACAGGUAUUGUUUGAAUGUGUCUACUAUAUUUCUUGUUAAAUAACCUUCACUUUAAUUUCAGUCAAACAUAAUUUUGCAUCAAAGAGAAAAAGUGGCUUUGACAUAACCUAGAAAAUACAAUAUUCAUUAAACAGAGCAUGGCACCAGGAUAGCUAGAUGCCCAUAUUCCUAGCAAAAUGAGCCAGUCCUAAAGAGAGUCCACUAGAGAUGAAAUAAAACUCAUUAAAAUGUAUUGAGAAAAGAUUUGUCAGAAUGUUAUGCAUCAUGAUCAACAGAAAAAAACUUCACAGGUAGACCAAAGCUGACAUGGGGUGAGAUCCUAAAACGAGACCUAGAGUUUAGAGGAUUGGAUAGGAUCAAUCCACUGGGUCGCCAAGUGUGGAAGUACAAACUUCAACCUCGACAGGACAGCCAGGCCUCACCCUUGCAAAAAUAUUAAUUUGGCCUGGAUAGUCAAAAUGAGUGAUGAUGAUGAUAUUAAGGUCUGACACUGUAAGCUCAGUAAGGGUAGAUGCUGGCAAUGGAGCUGUUAAGCAAUACAACAAACAGGUUUAACAUUGAACAUGUUUAUAUACUUUUUUAGCUCACCUGAGCCAAAGGCUCAAAUGAGCUUUUCUGAUCACCUUUGCCUGUCGUCUGUCUCUCUGUAAACUUUUCACAUUUUCAUUUUCUUCUCCAGAGUGAACCACUGGGCCAGUUUCAAUCAAACUUGGUAUGCAUCAUCAAUAGAUAAAGGGUAUGCAAAAAUAGGGUGAGGUCAUUUAAAAAACCUUUUCAAGAACCCCUGGACCAGGAAAGUUGAAUUCACAUAAAAGGUUCCUGUUUUGUGCAAAUCAUGGUAUCCGGGGGUAGGGUGAGGUCACAAUCGAGGAUCAAAGUUUUACAUUCAUAUAUAGUACAGAUUCAAGUUUGUUAAAGGUCAUGGCUCACAGGGGUAGAGUGGGGUCACAAUAGGGGAUCUAAGUUUUAUAUGUGAAAUAUAUACAAGGAAAA